UGUUGACACCUUCAAGGGUAACAACAGCAGUGAGAAUGAAUACAAAGGGCAAAAAGAAAGCUAGAAUAAGUAUGGUAUGAAAAACAUUUCGGUAGGAAAAGUGGCGAGCUGCGACUUUGAUCUUCAUCAAAUCACCAUAUCCUCCAUUGCUACUGCUCGAUAUCGUUACACUUCUCAUACUAGGUGAGAAGUGCAGCUGCAUCUUCCUCCACCGAAUCCCAAUCCCAAUUCCAAUCCACCACAACUCUAUAUGACAACACACCGCCGACUACGACGCCACAAUGUCCUGCUGGAUUAAUAUUAUUACUAUUCUCUUCAGAAAUUUUUGAACAAUCCAAAUAUAUUCUACUUCUCACCAUCAGAUCCAACAACAAUACAAUCAAAUGAUACAGAAACUGGUCCCUUCCGAGACCAAUGCAUUUGUAUAUCAAAUCAAAAUCCCCCAAACCCCAAA
rnacentral:misc_RNA from 1 species